AGGAUAAUAGUUAAUAAUAACAUUUAAUUUGCAAUUAAAAAUAAUCGAACAAUCGGUUUAUCUUA
rnacentral:tRNA from 1 species